CUGUGAACGAGAGGGAGCCGAGGGCUUCGUCUUCCCAGCAACAGGCGCUCGUGCCUCAGAGGCACGACAGAUUCCUAGGCGCUGCUUGAGUGUGACGUGUUUCCCAACUGCCACUACCCUCUUCAAAGUACUGACCUUGCAUAGUUUAAGCUAUUGUAUUCUUACCGCAUUAUCGGUUCGUCAUCUUUAUCGAUUCAUUUCCUUGCAUGCUUUCUACAGGCUGCCUCUGCAAGCCUCAGGAGGACAGUGCUCCUAAACUUGCCUGCACUUUACAUCACAUGGGGAUCUUCUAAAAAUUCCAAGCCCAGAGCAUACCCCAGGCCAAUUAAAUCACAAUUCCCUAGCGGUGGGAAACAGGUAUCAGUAGUUUUGGAAACUCUCCAGGUGAUUCCAAUGUGCAGAAAAGUUUGGGAACCACUGCCCUAAGGCCUUGCUGCUCAAAGUGUGGACUGUGGACCAGCAGCAUCACUAGAAAUCAGAACCUCUAACUACUUGAAUCAGAGAUCUCUGGGUGAUUUGACACACAUUAAGAUUUGGGAAGCACUGUUUAGAGGCCUGAAUGGAUAUGGGUAUCUUGAUUUAUGAGGACCACGUGUUUAAAGGAUGUCCUUGGAUGAGGAUAACAACGACAGGAUGGAUUGUGUGACCUUCCACCAGGCUGUGAACACUCCCACCGUGGCUGAUUUCCAUCUACUGACAUGGAAUUGAGAAGAGACGCCCGGUAACACAUCCUGAUAGGGGUCCAUCUGUUUAAAGAUGCAACAAGAUGAAAACAUGUCCUCCAUCUGCCACUCUCGCUUUUUUGUUGAACGAGCUGGGAUCCUGCAGAUGAGUGAGUGCUGUCUCCUGCCCGCUGGGACUGGUCUAGACCUGCUCCCAGCGCCAGUCCUACCACGUGCUAUUCCAGCAGGCAAGAAUCAGAGGCUUUGAAACUGUUCUUCUUGCAGAAGAACCCUCACCUGUGAUCUUGGAAGAAAAAAUUUUAAGAAACGAACAAAUUAUUAAUUUGGAAGCCAUCCUGGAGUUCUGAAAACUAAAAUCUGCUCUUUGAAAGAUACUACAGGGAAAAUAUGUCUAAAUACUCAACUAAUAAGUAAUUCUAUUCCAUAAGUACCUUCGAGUCAUGGUAGAUAUUUACGAAUAGGUUGAACAAGAAAAAAUUAAGGUCAAUUCUUCUUGAUCUGAGAAGCCUGAAAAAAAGUAGACAGUCUCAAACUUACUUCCUUUUACUCAGGGGAAAGGCAAUCUCGAGAUACAACAGUCUGGUUUCCAAGAGGGACCUGGAGAAGAGAGAAUGCAGGCAGCAGUGGCUGAAACAGAGCUGUCACCUACAGUUUGAAUAAUUUUAACACUAAUAUCAUUUACGUACAUUCAAGUGAACUCUUUUCUUUGUGCCCAGAUGGUGUAUUGACAUAACUGCUUUAAUGAAAAGAUCUUUUGACAACAAACGCGUUUUAGUUUUUGAAAGAGGAAGCAUUCCUUGUUGGGCUUAAUUGAUGAGGUUUAAAUAUCCUCUUUUUUCUAGGAAAUCUAGCUCUCUAACUCCUCUCGUGUUGUUAAUGCCCAGGGUGUAGGGAGCAACGGACUGAGAGUGCCCACAUCCCCCAGGGCCUCACAGAACCAUCUCAUCGGGGGUCUGCUCCCUCUGUACCUCCACCUCCGCAUCUGUUUUGUGGGUAUCUUCCCAUAGCAGGCACUUUCCUCCUGUUCCUGAGGAGGUUGUAAGCCCAGUGAGACAAGGUGAGUGAGCAUGCCUUACCUGGAAUGUGCUACUGCUUCAGUCCUUCCUCUGAUUUCCCCCAGCCCCAGCCCAGGUUGGGGCAGGGUCGACAGCUGGCCAAGAAUAUAAAACUGGCUGUUUGAACCAAUGGCUCUUUCAUGAGCUUAGCCAGGUGUCUGGUGUUGGGCCACAGUCAGUAUAUUCAUCUUUAGAGGCCAGAAGUCCAAGUUCCCUUCUGAGGUUGGUGGAAAGGAGGAGGAGAGGUGAAGCUGACCUCCUUCCCAGAAGGUGGAACCGAGGAUGACCGUCUACUAGCAGCACCCGGGGGACUAGCUCUGCGUCCUGGAACUUCCUUCUCUCAACAGGAAGUGAUGGACUGAAUAACACUUAACGCAAAGUGGGAAGCGGUCCUCCGCGUACAUGCCAGAAUGGUUAUAGACAGAGGGCUAAAGUAGUUGGAAGAAAAUUCUUAUUGAAAUAUUCCCGUCUGUAUUUUAGACAGAUUUCACCUCUGAGGAUAAAAUGAUGUAUUAUAGCAACAACAGCCUAAAUUAAUAAAAGCACAGGAAAAGACUUUAAUAGAAACUGGAAAUUUCUGUAACUUUUGCCCAACCCAGAACUUUGGGAGAUGUUAGAUGAGACAUCAGCUACAGAACCUAGAAUUGAGAGCAUUUCCCAGGACAUUAGUAAUAGGUUUAGCUAAAUAGGACUACGAUUCCUGCUCUCAUAGCUCCUCACUGUUUGCAAAGACAAAUAAUCACCCAGACUACAGAGACCAACACACAACAAAAAGGGAAAUUUAAUAAAUAUUUAAUAAACAUUUUUG
rnacentral:lncRNA from 1 species